GAGACUCAGAGAGAAAGAAGGGAAAGAGAUCAGUGGAGGGGUUUGUCUUAGCUUGAUGGCUAAAAAUUUCUAAUUUUGAGAACAGAUACUGUUAUUCUUGUUUCCUACAGCAAAAGACUCGAAGUAUUUGAAGAAGCUUUGUAGAGUUUAACAUCUGAAUUUUCAAUGAACAAGAGCAGAAAGAUGAAGUCCUUCAGUGUCUUACUAGUGAUCCUUUGGCUUCAGUUCACCUGGGUGAGCGGCCAACAGAAGGAUGUGGAGCAGAGUCCUGAGUCCCUCAGUGUCCCAGAGGGAGCCAUCGCCUCACUCAACUGCACUUACAGGGACAGUGGUUCUCAGUACAUCUCGUGGUACCAACAGUACCCUGGAAAAGGCCCUAAGAUGCUGAUUGCUGUAUACUCCAAUGGUGACCAAGAAGAAGGAAGAUUCAGAGCACAUUUCAACAGAGCCAACCGCUAUGUUUCCCUGCACAUUAGAGACUCCUGUUCCCUUGACUCAGCCACCUACUUCUGUGCCGUGAGUGCACAGUGGUCCCCAGGCACCUGCAGCCUGUACCCAAACCACAGACCUGAGGCAGAGUGGAGAUCACAGGGCAGAGAAGCUCUGUUCCUGCUCCAGAUGCAGUGGGAAUUAAGAACAAUAGUGGGAAGGGUUUCAUAGAGUAGGGAAGUAUUUUAACAAUUAUAGAAGUAACUGACAUGAAAGGAAAGUUUAUACCCAUGAAACUGUCACGAUAAAUCAUCUCACAAACAUGACACUUGCCUAUAGCUGUUUUCAAUCACAAAUUAUUUUAGUGGUAGAAAAUUAACAAUCUUUAUUAUAUGGCAGAUUAUUAUCUUCAAAGUAGUUGCUC